rnacentral:rRNA from 1 species
UACGGAGGGGGCUAGCGUUGCUCGGAAUCACUGGGCGUAAAGCGCACGUAGGCGGAUUGUUAAGUCAGGGGUGAAAUCCUGGAGCUCAACUCCAGAACUGCCUUUGAUACUGGCGAUCUUGAGUCCGGGAGAGGUGAGUGGAACUGCGAGUGUAGAGGUGAAAUUCGUAGAUAUUCGCAAGAACACCAGUGGCGAAGGCGGCUCACUGGCCCGGUACUGACGCUGAGGUGCGAAAGCGUGGGGAGCAAACAGGG